UACGGAGGGGCUAGCGUUGUUCGGAAUUACUGGGCGUAAAGCGCACGUAGGCGGCUUUGUAAGUUAGAGGUGAAAGCCCAGGGCUCAACCCUGGAAUUGCCUUUAAGACUGCAUCGCUUGAACAUCGGAGAGGUAAGUGGAAUUCCGAGUGUAGAGGUGAAAUUCGUAGAUAUUCGGAAGAACACCAGUGGCGAAGGCGACUUACUGGACGGAUUGUUGACGCUGAGGUGACGAAAGCGUGGGGAGCAAACAGG
rnacentral:rRNA from 1 species